rnacentral:lncRNA from 1 species
UAUUUUUAUACUAAAGUUAAUCACAAACUUGUGAUUCACACAAAUUUCAAAGAAUUCAAAUUUUAACAAUUCAAAUUUGAAAACUAAUGGCACUAAUAGAAAGUUUAUAUUUUUUCUAAAACUAAUGGCACUAACAGAAAGUUUAUAAUUUUGCUGACCUAAAAGCAAAAAGAAUUAAAAAAUAAAGCAAAAAACAAAAUAAAAUAAAUAAUGCAAAAAACAAAACAAAAAAACUGAAAAAAACUAUUUUUAUAGUAAAGUUAAUCACAAACUUGUGAUUCACACAAAUUUCAUAGAAUUCAAAUUUUAACUAUUUAAAUUUGAAAACUAAUGGCACUAACAGAAAGUUUAUAAAUUUUCUGACCUAAAAGCACAAAGAAUUAAAAAAUAAAGCAGAAAACAAAAGAAAAUAAAUAAUGCAAAAAACGGAACCAAAAAACUGGAAAAAAAAUUAAAAAAACUGCCGCCUAUUGGGCCACCACGGCCUGAAUACGACUAGAAACCCAACCUGGGCCAGGAUUCAGGCCCGCAAAAGGCGCAAUAGGCCCACAAACAGCACAGUGUGACAUUAGGCCCGUAAGCCUGCAUUUGAGAGGAGCUCGAGAGGGCAGCCGCAGUGGGGCUUAUAAACCACUCCGAGCUCCUCUCAACUAGCGAGGUGGGACUAAACUUUUGGCCGCGGGCAGCGCAAGGCCUUUGGUCCCNNNNNNNNNNNNNNNNNNNNNNNNNNCAAAAGAAAAUAAAUAAUGCAAAAAACAAAACAAAAAACUGAAAAAAAAAACUAUUUUUAUAGUAAAGUUAAUCACAAACUUGUGAUUCACACAAAUUUCAUAGAAUUUAAAUUUUAACUAUUUAAAUUUGAAAACUAAUUGCACUAACAGAAAGUUUAUAAAUUUUCUGACCUAAAAGCACAAAGAAUUAAAAAAAUAAAGCAAAAAACAAAAGAAAAUAAAUAAUGCAAAAAACAGAACCAAAAAACUGGAUUUUUUUUAAAAAAGUGCCACCUAUUGGGCCACCAUGGCCUGAAUACGACUAGAAACCCAACCUGGGCCAGGAUUCAGGCCCGCAGAAGGCCCAAUAGGCCCACAGACAG